AUGAUAUAUGGCCCUCCAAAUUCCAGGGGGCGCUGUAGAGUCCCUGUGCCACGCCCGUGUAUCAGUCUCUGCCCGGCCCUAAUGGCCGCAGGUUCCAAUGUGUGUGCCAAUUUUCAAGAGUUUUUGAGCAUGUUAAGGGCCCCAAAAGCCACCAAAACUUUGACGGAAAAUAAGAAUACUUAACCCUAAAAAGCCAACUUCCUGUUGGGCGGAGCCUAUGACAUGCAAUACGAAAGUUGUUUGGAUUGAUGAGAUCUAUAUGUGUACCGAGUUUCAUAUGUCUACGUGCAAGUAUGUAUGAUAUAUGGCCCUCCAUAUUCCAGGGGGCGCUGUAGAGCCCCUGUGCCACGCCCGUGUAUCAGUCUCUGCCCGGCCCUAAUGGCCGCAGGUUCCAAUGUGUGUGCCAAUUUUCAAGACUUUUUAAGCAUGUUAAGGGCCCUAAAAGCCCCCGAAACCUUGAAAAAAAAUUAGAAGAAUAAAUAAUAAUAAUAAUAAUAACAAAUAAUCCUAAGGAAAACAAUAGGGCUCUCGCCCUCCAGGCUUGAGCCCUAAUAAAAAAUAAUCCUAAGGAAAACAAUAGGGCUCUCGCCCUCCAGGCUUGAGCCCUAAAUAUAGCUGCAAGCAGCGAUGGCGGGCUCAAGCCAUCAGCGCAAACGCCACCCCGGUGGCAUCAGGUAAACUGUGCCCAGCGGGCACAUGCAUUUACAGUAAUCCUCUGGCACUCAGGUUUUAAGGGAUACGGCAAUUAACGGGUUAAUCCGAAGCAUCAAGACUUUGAAAUCACAUACACAGAACAAUAUUCAUUAAGAAUGUGAAAUUAAAUGAUUAAUAAACUAUUUAUUCGAACCCUUGCUAUUUUCUAUUCUAAUAAGAGUCUUGGCUGUGGAACACCUGUAAUAGAGUUGGCUAGCUGGAUGCAAAUAAAGUCAUGCCUUUUAUUUGUUCCCCUGUUUGCUAUUUCACAUUCCUGUCACUGAAGCGUUGUGGCCAAAGACACAGAAGGUAACUGAAACAAUGUGGUUUAAGUCCAGGUGAUCAUAAGGGGUCCAAGCACAAUGGUUUGUGUAGAUGAUGCAGUUAAACAAUGGACGUGUCUCUUUUCAAGUAAAUUAUUAUACGCACAACAUGAAAAUAGAUAACAAAUAUAGUGUCCCUUCUUCACUUUUUCAGUAAUGCGUGAUAACUUGAGAAAUAUGUUGUCAAUACUAUUAAAAUAAGAUAAAAACGUAAUGGUAUUUUGGAGAUGAUAGUUUUUGCAUAAUUACUAUAUUGGGCUUUAUUAAAGUUUAUGAAAAAAGAAUGAAUGUAUAUGCAUUUUUGAUUUAUUUACAUAAAUGAAACAUUUUCAAGUCUUUGAACAGAUCUUGAAGUAUUUGCUGUCCUGUGGCGCCAUCGAGUGGACAACAUUAACAUUGUGCCCUUCAUUUUUGAACAACAUUAUGAAAGGGGGCAAUAUUUUUUGAUUGAUUAUAAAUAUUUAAUGAUUAGUUUACUGAUAAUAUACCCACAUUAAAAUCGAAUUUACUGAUUCUGUAUCUUAUUUCAUGCUUAAUCAUGAGUUUAAUUUUCAACUUACAUUUUUAAGCAGUGUUGAAUGAUUACUAUGUGAGUUGCUAAAUUUGUUUUGUUUUUACAAUUAUAAUACAUAAACUAUAUAAUGAUGAAAAAUACAACAGUUAUUGUUUUCAUAAUAUUUACUAUUGACAAUCGUUAUUCUGUAUUGUAAAGAAGAAGGUUUUUAUGACAACAAAAAUGGUCAUUACUAAAAAUUAAACACUAAUUUAAUUCAUAGUUUUAUUUUUCUAUAGGUUAAGCACCUUUUCGUAAAUAUGGCUGUUUCCCAGUUUUAUUUUUUUUUUUUUUAGGAUUUACAUUUAAAAAAAUGAGCCUACUUCAAACAUUUUAAGCAGCUUGAACAAAACCUGUUAAUAUUUAUUAUAGACCACUGUAACUGUCUAUUAUCUAUUUAUUAUGAAAAUAAAAGUGUGUACACCAGUUAAACUGGACGAUAAAGAAAUUGCUAACAAUAGUUUAAUAGAGCAUGUUUUAGGUUUAUAGGUGCUUAGAUGCAGAAAUUUAAUUUAAUUAAAUAUAGAUUAAUUCUUGUUAGAGCAAUAAUAAUAAUAAAUACAUGAAUACAUACAGCAGCCAAGACGAAUGAUUUUCUGUUUUUUUAUAGAUUAAAAUUAAAGACAGAAAGCAGCUGGUAAAUGCAGUCACUUUAAUAUUCAAAUCCAGUAUCAUGAUACACUUCAGAUUUAUUUCUCAACUGUUUAUGUUCACGUGACUGUUUUCGUUUCUAUUCGCCAAGCUAUUAUGUAUUUUUGAAAUAACCUUGUUCUUGAUUUGUUCGUUCUUGCCAGAAUCAGCGUCCUCUGGAGCUCGAGAGAUCGAUGUUAUUCUGCCCUUAGACAGUCUCGCGCUGUCAAAUAGUCUUUCAAUUUUCACAAUCAAACAGCUCACAAAUACCUGAAUUUAGCUCUUGUUGUGUUCUAAUGGGUGGAUUGUGUGCAUUCGCGGUAAUAUUUUAUUUUAAAAAGCUCUUAAAACUAUAAAAAUGCUUUUAUUGUGAGCUUGUGGUGAGACUGCAGGCGCUGAUGCAGCGGUGAUUUCUCUCUGGUCCUUCUCACUGAUCUCUGGCCAGACAUCAAUUAUUAAUGAGAUCUGAGCCGUAAUAAUAACAUAUGUUGGUUCAGCUUGUCAGUGUGAAUGAAACGUGUAUUUAUUUGUCCGUUCUCGCCGAAAAACCAUCACCGUGUUCUGGAGCGCAGAGCAAUCGAUGUGAUGUUCAGCCCUUAGACAAAGAAAAUCUCACAAGCACUCAUAAACACUCAUUUUCAUCUCUAUAAUAUGUUCUUCUAAUUGUUUUUUGUUGAUUCGCCGCUGUGUUUUAAUGUAAAAGGCUGUAGUUUCUGUAUGUACACUUUUUUUCCCUUCAAGUGUUCAGACGUCUCGCGCUGUCAGACAGGCUGCAGCAAAUAUUUCAUUUUUAACAUGUUAACAGCUCACAAACAUCUGAAUUUAGCUCUUGGUGUGUUCUAAUUGGCGGAUUGUGUGCAAUCGCCGUAAUAUUUUAUUUUUAAAAGGUCUCAAACAAGAAUAAACUCGUUUGUUGUGAGCUCGUUGAGACUGCACGCGCUGUUCGGAGCGGUGACAUAUCUCUCGUCUAUCUCUCUGUUCUCUGUCGCCAGACAUCAAUUAUUAAUAAGCCCUGACCCGCUAAUAAUAAGAUAUGUUGGUUUAGCUUGUCAGUGUGAAUUAAAUUGAUUUAUUUAGUUGUAUUUUUAACCGAUUUAAAAGUGAAACUAAGCGAGACUCCUCCCUCUCAGUCCCGGGAAUUGCUCCUGUAGAGGCGCAUUUUCUCUCAGACAAUGAAAGUCUCAGCACACAUACAUUCCUCACACAGAGCCAAAAAUCCAUAUUCAAAUCAAAAUAGCCGACUUCCUGUUGGUCGUAGCUAAUGACUGUAAAUUAGAAAGUUGUCCGUCUUAAUAAGAACAAUAUAUGUACCGAGUUUGGUGUCUGUAGCUAAAACUAAGCCCCCCACUUUUGACAAAAGGUGGCGCUAUAGAGUGCCUCCUCCACGCCCUUUUAUGACCUUUUGCCAGUGUCUAGCUAUCAUUAAUACUGAUAUGUGUUCUGAGUUUCAUGAAAUUCUAAGCAUGUUAUCUGCCUCAAAAUCAGAAUAUAUUAUACAGAAAAAUAUUCCAGUUUGAUAUGUUGCCAUGGCAACACUAUAUUAGAUAUCAAUAUCCCCUCAACAGUUUUACAUGGGCCGUGUUUUGUCAUUAUUCUGAUGAAGUUUGAAGCAAAUUGAGUAAAAAUAAGAUGCUGAAUUCAAAGCAUUUUGAAAAUGACACACUUCCUGCUGCCAGUUGGUGGCGCUAUAAUUUUGACUCCUAAUAGUCACAUAUAUGCGAUCGGCAUCAUACAACGAACAAAUUGAUGAAGUUUAAUUAAAAUCAGGAAAUGUAUGUGGAUGUUAUUAGACACUUCCUGUUUCUUUUUUCUCGCCAUAAUUUCAACGCCUCGCCACAAGCAAACCAUUCGAGAUAUCAAAAAUCCCCUGGCAAUUUUGCAUCCCCAAUGUCUUGAGAUCAUGUUGACCAAGUUUGGUGGCAAUCGGGUAAAAAACCUAUGACAAGUAUAUCAAAUUCCAGAGCAUGCACUUUUUACAUAGCUCUAAAUAGCUGACUUCCUGUUGGGCGGAGCCUAUGACAUGCAAUACGAAAGUUGUUCGGCACAAUGAGAUCUAUAUGUGUACUGAGUUUCAUAUGAAUACGUGCAAGUAUGUUUGAACUAUACAUCAACAUUUCUGACUGUGUUCCAGGGGGCGCCGUAGAGCCCCUGUGCCACGCCCGGGUCUCAGCCUCUGCAGCCUCCUAAUGGCCACAGAUUCUAAGGUGUGUGCCAAAUUUUCAAGAGUUUUUGAGCAUGUUAAGGGCCCCAAAAGCCCCCACAACUUUGACGAAAAAUAAGAAUACUAAACCCUAAAUAGCCAACUUCCUGUUGGGCGGAGCCUAUGACAUGCAGUACGAAAGUUGUUUUGGCUUGAUGCGAUCUAUAUGUGUACCGAGUUUCAU
ensembl:lncRNA